rnacentral:rRNA from 1 species
GUAGCCCUGCACGCAUCCUGAUCCAGCAAUGCCGCGUGAUUGAUGAAGGGUUUUCGGGCUUCAACUCUUUUUCAGGGACGAUCUCCUGCCUGCUCAUACCCCUUGCCCUGACCGUAAUUAACAAAAGCCCCCGCUCAAUCCUGCCCCGCCCCGGUAACGACCGGUUCAAAACUAUUUCCCCCCUGGUAAAACGGGGGGGGGUCCGGUAAUAAGAACUAAAAAAAAAAAUGCCUUCUCCAGUGGUGGGGGCGCUCUUUUACAGAGCCCCCUCCAUUUCCGCCCUGCGUUUAAUAAAAAAACCGGUAAGCCCAAAUUUGUCCUCCGCUAUUCUCUUAAUUUUGCCUUAACGGCCCCAUCCCCCCCCCUCGUUGAUACAACAGCCACUUAGGGGAGUGGUUUUUGCGGGUGUACCCCCCCGCGACGGUCUCUCAUGACAUGCCCCCGUGUGGCAGCGGCCGGGGGGGGGGGUUUAUCCAAGUACUAUAAAUUUGUAAUGUGAAACGCCCCGGGCUUCGCUUUUAUUCCUGUCUUCUCCUCCCCUCAAC